ACUACUAAUUAAAUUGCAAUUUUGCAAAGUACAUUAUAAAUUUUGUGGCUUCCCGCAUUUCAUGGAAUUUGAGAAGGGUAUUUUGUAAUUAACAAUGUCCUGACCUAUUUUAGAAUGUUUCCUUCAGGUUAUCGAUGAGUACUUCUGAGUAAAUGAGCUUGUAGUAACUUUAUGAUGUCGGCUUUAUUAAUUUAUGAGGAUAUAUAUGAAACAAUAAGCAGUAUUUUGGAAGCUUUUCAAUCGCUGUCAUAUACUGAUGUAGUUUCAGAAUUCGCACCUGCCAAAUAACAGCAUAAUUCAAUAUACUGAUUUUAAAUUUUUGCCAAAA